ACCAGAUAAGACAGCUGAAUGAUAGUCGGGCUGAAGCUCUACUUGACUAGCUGAGAGGAGGUGCAUGGCCGUCGUCAGUUCGUACUGUGAAGCAUCCUGUUAAGUCAGGCAACGAGCGAGACCCACGCCAACAGUUGCCAGCUCGUCCUCCGGGAUGGUGGGGACACUGUUGGGACCGCUCUGCUAAAGAGGAGGAAGGAAUGGGCAACGGUAGGUCAGCAUGCCCCGAAUUAUCUGGGCUACACGCGGGCUACAAUGGGUGGGACAAUGGGUAUCGACACCGAAAGGUGAAGGCAAUCUCCUAAACCCAUCCGUAGUUCGGAUUGUGGGCUGCAACUCGCCCACAUGAAGCUGGAAUCUGUAGUAAUCGUGUCUCAAAAUGGCACGGUGAAUAUGUCCCUGCUCCUU
rnacentral:rRNA from 1 species